rnacentral:rRNA from 1 species
AUGGGCUUCGAGGAUGCCGAAUCAGGAUUGAUUCCUAGAGUUGAUGUCGGGGAUCUCUUAGGAGGAGAUAUCGUUGUUGUGGAGUCAGUCGUUGCUUCUAUCCAUGAAGCUCGCGUGGACUGCGAAGAUUUGAUUUCCUCUGAGCACACAACUGGCUCUAUGUAUGGUGAGCAUCCUGGCGCAGGGAGGCGCCUUUUGGAUGCAAUGCUGGGGGAAGAGGAAGCUGGCUCAUACAAUGGUGCUAGCGUGGUUGUUGCCGAUUCAAACGAUAGGCCACCUGAAGAUAUUAGCGAUGCAACCGUUCAGAGAGGAUGGAGAUGCAGAGGGCGUGUUCGUCUCCAACUCAAAAGGCUCCUGCUGGACUCAAAGGAUUAG